rnacentral:lncRNA from 1 species
UGGCCCCAUAUUUGUAAUGCUGCCUGGCACCUUCCUUUGGUCCGAGCACUCUGCAUGCCGAGACCAAGUCCUGUACUUCUUAUUAAUUAAUUAAUUAAACACCUAACUAAUUAAUUAAAUUAAUAUUUGAUAAAUUAGUUUUUUUAAUAUCUAAUUAUACUUAAUUAACAUAAUUUAAAUAAAAAAAUUAACUUUUAGUGACGGUAUUAGCCGUCGCUAAUACUCACAGC